rnacentral:lncRNA from 1 species
CCAUACAGUACUCUAACACGGAUGACGCUGGAAAACAUGACUCUGAGUGGAUACAGUCACAAAAGACCACAUGUUGUAUAAUAUAUGAUUCUAUUUACAUAAGCUGUCCAAAAUAGGCAAAUCUAUAGGCACAGAAAUUAGAUUUGUGGUAGCUGGUAGUAGAUUAGGGGUUGAGGAUAAUGAGGAGUGGCUAGCCUUUUCUUAAUGAAAUAGAACAGAAUAGAACAUAUCUUAACAUCUCAGCUCAGGUACCAUUUCCUCAGGAAGUUUUCCCUUAGUAGGUCAAGUCCGACUGUCUUGGAGUCUUUUGUAGCAACAAGCACAGCUGAAAGUUUGCAUUUAUUUGCCUGUUGUUUGGAUGAGUGUUGGGAUCCCAGGAUGUGGGUACAAAUCCUGCUUCUCCUAGCACGGUGUCUGGCACAGGGCCGAUGGUUUGUAAAUGUGUGUCUAAAGAAGGAAGUUGGUAAGUCAGGGGCCAAAGUUCUAAAUGAACAGAACAGAGUAACCUAGGGGGAAAGGAAUAAAAUAGACGAUGCACAUGAGGUCUGUAAAAUAAAGUUCUCUAAGACAGUGUUUGUUCAACUGGGGGUUACAGCACAUUAGUGAGUUUGUGAAAGGGAAAUACUAAGUUGUGGCCCAUGUUUCUAAAAAAUGAAAUAGAAUAGAAAAUAUCAGUAUUUUUUACAUACCAUGACACUUUUGUUUUAUUUAUAUCCAUAUAGAAGCAUAUGUGUAUCAUGUCAAGAUUUACUGUGAGUUUUAAUUUAAAACAUUUAAGAGACGCUUCUGUACUCCCUG